UACAGAGGGUGCUAGCGUUGUUCGGAAUCAUUGGGCGUAAAGGGUGCGUAGGCGGGUCUUUUAAGUCAGGGGUGAAAUCCUGGAGCUCAACUCCAGAACUGCCUUUGAUACUGAAGAUCUUGAGUUCGGGAGAGGUGAGUGGAACUGCGAGUGUAGAGGUGAAAUUCGUAGAUAUUCGCAAGAACACCAGUGGCGAAGGCGGCUCACUGGCCCGAUACUGACGCUGAGGCACGAAAGCGUGGGGAGCAAACAGG
rnacentral:rRNA from 1 species